GGACGUUUCGUCCCCGAGGGUAUCACCAGCCCAGUAGUCAACACUUCGGUGCUGACAUGAAUAUCAACAAUGUGGUCAUUUUUAUAAAUUUUCUGUUUACAAAACUUUGAAUUUUUCGAAAAACUAAGGAUUUUCUUAUCCCAGGCAUAGAUUACCUUAGCCGUAUUUGGCACAACUUUUUGGAAUUUUGGAUCCUCAAUGCUCUUCAACUUUGUACUUGUUUGGCUUUAUAAAUAUUUUGAUAAGAGCGUCACUGAUGAGUCUUAUGUAGACGAAACGCGCGUCUGG
rnacentral:lncRNA from 1 species